rnacentral:lncRNA from 1 species
GAAGCAGAGGAUACACAGAUGUGAUUAUGACAUAUGCAACAAAGUAUACACUAAAAGUUUCCACGUGAAAUCAUACAGAAGAACACACACAGGAGAUAAACCCUACAAAUGUACAUGGGAUGGAUGCAUAUGGAAGUUUGCUCUGUCUGAUAAAUAAGACAUUUCUGAAAACAUACUGGAGUCAAAUCUUUUUGGUGCCUGGACUGUAACCACAGCUUCUGUUCUGACCAUCUUGCCUUCUACAGGAAACGCCACAUGCUAGUCUGAA